ACGGCCAUACCAUGCUGAAUAUACCGGUUCUCGUUAGAUCACCGAAGUCAAGCAUCGUGGGCGCAAUCAGUAAAUUUGGGUGGGUGACCACCAGGGAACACCGCGCGCCGUCG